CUAUAUAUGUAACAAUCUGCAAAAGUCUUGAGCCACCACUUGUUUCUUUAUAUUUUGCUAGGAAAAUAGGAAAUAAGUGCAGUGAUUAACUGAAACAUGCACAUAUGGUUCGCCUUAUAUAAAUACAGUAUAUAAGGCAAAAACAGAGGUACAGCUUUAAAGCCAAUACUUGGUGCGACCACCUUUAUUUUUCAGCACGGCCUGGACUCUCCGAGCCAAACGUUCUUGUCAUGUCUUUAAGUGAUCUUCAGGAAUAGUUUUCCAGGCUUCCUGAAGGACAUUCAAACCUCUUCUUUGCUUGUUGGCUGCUUUUUGUUCUGUUCUGUAAAGAUCAUCCCACAGUGCUCUAAUAAUGUUGAGGUCUGGGCUCUGGGGAGGACAAUCCAUGACUGAUAGUGUUUUUCUGUCCAGGUAUGGUUUUAUCGCAUUGGCACUUUGUUUUGGGAUCAUUGCCAUACUGAAAAAUGAAGCUGUUGACAGUCAGACACCUUCCAUGCAUGACAACACCACCAACUGAAAUGCAGCACUAAACCAUGACAGAGCCUCCAUUGUCUUUUACAGAUGGCUGUAGACCCUCGCUGUCAUACCUCUCUCUCAUAACUGAACCAGAAAUUUCAAAUUUGGAUUCGGCACUCCAUCAGACCUGUUGCCACUGAUUUUCAGUCCCGUUCUUGCUCUCUCUCUUUCUCCUUGUUUUCCUUCCUUUCCUACCACUGAGACCAUUUCUAAUGAGGCUUCACUGAACAACAGAUGAUUCAGCUGAAGGUCAGAUGCAUUUCUCAGGUCCUGUGUUAGGCUUUUUCAUCAUUUUUUUCAACCUCUAUUUGUCCAAUUUCCUCACAUUUGUUUUUGUUUUUUGGAUACACUGCACACCACACCAAGAUAUGCCAAGCUGUCAACUAACAGCUUGUUAGGAAUCACCUGUCAAACUCUGUUAUGUUUGGGAUUUUUUUGUGAAUUAAAUUAAAUUAAAGAAAUGAGAACAAAUGCUGUGCUUCUGCAACAGAUGGCUAGUAACAAAUAAGAUUUUAACAAUUUAAAAUCAGUUCUUUGCUAAAUUGUUAUGUGUAGAUAUGAAACUGGUUCAUCCAUUGAGUUAAGAGCCUUUUUUAUGCUUGAAUGAGUCACAGUCACGAUUGAAGUGGCUUAAACAAACAAACAAAAACAGCAUCUCUCUGAAAAUGCUCAGGUGCACCGACUGGAUUUGAAAGGGCGAAAAAAAUAACCAAUUUCAAAAGAAAAACUUUGAAAAACUUGCAGAACUAUUUCUCAGAUAACUGCAAAAUUAAAAGACAGUCUGGCUCCUUGAAAGCAACAUGCAAAGGAAAGAGGGCACAGGGCAUAAAAGUUAUAAUAGUCCAGUUCUAUAAUAGCAUGACAGUACUAGGUCAUUUGAGCAGCUGAGUAAUUUUAGUGCAGUGAAAAUACUCAAAAUACUAAUCAAAACAAGUACUUGUUUUAUCAAAUCAAAACCACUAAAAGUACUUUAAUAAAUCCAAAAGUCAUAAUUACAUACUUAUAAAUUAUACCGUUAUGCCUGACUUUUGGCAAAAACAAAACAAAGAGCGACAUCCUAAGCGUGAAACUCCUGGUAAUUGUUAGAGCCAUUCAGCCUUCAAUUUAAUUGUACACACCGUCAUGAGUAAUGAAGUGGCACACAGGUAACUUUGUCCAUUUGUUACAAACUGAUUUAUUAACAUGGCUGAGUUAAAUGUGAGACUUUUAAAUGUAUGCAAGUUUCGUAGCAGUGCUGUCCUGCGUUAGGACGGGGUCGUCAGGAAGAAAACAGCGGCAGCCAAAUUAGCGUAAAAAAAAAAAACCACUCGGACUUUCACAGAGCUGGAAAAACAAAGGCGAACAAGUUUUAAAGCAGAGCUGGGAAAUGUUUAGUUUGAAACAAAAGUCACAUACGGGAAUGUUGUGCGACCAAUAAGCAGGCGGCAGGUUUAUUUUGAAAGGCUGACUGCGCAUGGCUACAGUCAAUAUGGAAACAUUAAGGAGAGAAUUAGCAAACAAAUUGUGGGCACGUCAGGAAACGGCGGACUCCGGCGCGGAUUUACCGCACGGGAGGCUCGUGCCAUAACUUUACGGUCGAAAACCCGCACAGUAAACUGACCGGACAGGAGCCAAUGGGAGCUCGAGAUCAUCGCUGUCACGUUCGGAACAGGCUGAAAACUGAGCAGCGUAGUCCCGCCCACCAUUGACUUUGUUCACAGGACUGCUGGAAGGAGGAGGUCACAGACAUGGAAGCAGUGGAAAGUUUGGGUGGGGAAUGCCUCGUUUCCUCUUCACCUGGAUAUCUCUCUUACUUUAGCUGCCCUCUACAACACUGCACAAGGAGGAACUGUUUCACUACAUGCUGCAAAAAAACAAAACACAACAAGCCCCCCUCCCACACACACACACACACACUUAUUUUGAUUGCAGAUGUGUUUAGAGUUCUGGCUAAGAUCUUCAUUAGUUGUUAUACGUUUCGCUGAAUAUUAGAAUUUGCAUUUGGAGAUGUAAAAUCUACACUUAUAAAACUUUAAGAUGGUGUAAAUAUGCAAAUAUGUUUUCAUUAGAUGAAUUUGUUAUGAUAAUGAAGAUACAAAACAUAUAUAUGUGAACUGAAUUGCUUUUUAUCUUAAUAAAGUUUAAGCACCUCAUCCAACAUAAGUUUGGAUGCACUCUCAGCAAGGUCCACAACGUAGCUGAUUUUCAGUACCUGUUACAGCCAAGGAGUUUAUAGGUUACAUUAACAAUCAACAUGGAGACUCAGUGCCAUAAACAAAAUAGGUGCUGAUUUCUAUUCAAUUACCAUUUUUGGACAUAAACGAAUCACAGCAGCAGUCACCUCAAGGUGCUUUUA